rnacentral:rRNA from 1 species
GACGUUACCUACUAGAAGAAGCACCGGCUAACUCCGUGCCAGCAGCCGCGGUAAUACGGAGGGUGCGAGCGUUAAUCGGAAUUACUGGCGUAAAGCGCAUGCAGGCGGCCUGUUAAGUCAGAUGUGAAAGCCCGGGGCUUAACCUCGGAAUUGCAUUUGAAACUGGCUAGGCUAGAGUCUUGUAGAGGGGGUAGAAUUUCAGGUGUAGCGGUGAAAAUGCGUAGAGAUCUGAAGGAAUACCAGUGGCGAAGGCGGCCCCCUGGACAAAGACUGACGCUCAGAUGCGAAAAGCGUGGGGAGCAAACAGGAUUAGAUACCCUGGUAG